GAUGAACGCUAGCUACAGGCUUAACACAUGCAAGUCGAGGGGUAACGAGAGGAAAGCUUGCUUUCCUUGUCGACGACCGGCGCACGGGUGAGUAACGCGUAUCCAACCUGCCCCCAACUAGGGAAUAACCUUGCGAAAGUAAGACUAAUACCCUAUAAUUUCCUCAGAUGUCAUCUGACGAGGAAUAAAGAUUUAUCGGUUGUGGAUGGGGAUGCGUCUGAUUAGCUUGUUGGCGGGGUAACGGCCCACCAAGGCAACGAUCAGUAGGGGUUCUGAGACGAAGGUCCACCACAUUGGAACUGAGACACGGUCCAAACUCCUACGGGAGGCAGCGGGGAGGAAUAUUGGUCAAUGGGCGGAAGCCUGAACCAGCCAAGUAGCGUGCAGGAUGACGGCCCUAUGGGUUGUAAACUGCUUUUAUACAGGAAUAAACAGCGAUUCGUGAAUCGCCUUGACGGUACCGUAAGAAUAAGGAUCGGCUACUCCGUGCCAGCCGCCGCCGUAA
rnacentral:rRNA from 1 species